UUAAGGCAGGAAGAAUGUUUUAAAAUAUCGGUAUUAUUAUAAUUCAUAUAUGGUAAGGCCAACAGAUCAAGAGAUGCUUACCUUUCAGAAGAGGUUAUUAUUUUACAGAUACCAAGAGCAGGGGGCAUACCAUGCUGUUGCAAGGACCACAUUGGAAGCACCAGGGAUGGUGAGGAUGCAGUCAGAGUGAGGGGAAAAUGUAAGCAAGAGUCUUAGUUGUGGUUUCCAUGGGAAGGAAUGGCAGAGCAAGUUUAGGAUUGGCUAGUUUGAAUAAUGUUGGUGGGCUCUGGGCGUAGGGCCUGUCCUUGGUUGUCUGAUACCUGGCCCUGGGGUGAUUAGGGCAGGGGAAAAAUGGCCCUGAGUGUGGGAACCUAGUAACAAAGGUGGUUGUGGGUACGGGCCCUGGGUGGUUGAUUUGCAUAUGGCAGGCACACUUGCAAAGCAGUUACUAUCUCCAGGACUUGGCUAGCUCUCUCCAGGGUCAGCAUUGCCUCAGAUGUCAAAGCAUCAGAAGCAUAUGGUUAAUACAGUAAUGAGGCAUCUGAAUGCUUUUUCCUGGUACUUCUGGUACAGCUGUGGAAAUACUUCCCGUCUCUUUCCCUUUGGAGAUGUGAGGCUUGGAACUGAUGCCACAAUCUUGUUACCACUCUGAGAAUGAAGCUGAGACAGGGAGUCCACUAUAUCAUUUAUCAUAUAAUCUAUUUAUCAAGUCCAUGUUUCUCCUAUGAACGUGACCUUGGAGAACCCCUUCCUCCCACUUGUAUUGGGCGUGCUGUGAUGCACUGCUGUCAAGCUGCUUACUUCUUUCUGCCCCCCCCCCCCCUUCCGCUUGCUCCUUCUACUCUUGCCUCACUGGCCGUUUUCCAUUGUCACCUUUCAGUUGACUACCAUGUUUAAAAUUUGUUAAGUCCUUGUUUGUUCAAUUCAUGACUUUUCUGUCUUUAUUUUUCCCUAUAAUACUUCCCACCAUCUCAUAUACAGGCAUACCUCCAAUAUUGAAGGUUCAGUU